ACGAACGCUGGCGGCGUGCUUAACACAUGCAAGUCGAACGGAAAGGCCCUGCUUUUGUGGUGUGCUCGAGUGGCGAACGGGUGAGUAACACGUGAGUAACCUGCCCUUGACUUUGGGAUAACUUCAGGAAACUGGGGCUAAUACCGGAUAGGAGCUCCUGCUGCAUGGUGGGGGUUGGAAAGUUUCGGCGGUUGGGGAUGGACUCGCGGCUUAUCAGCUUGUUGGUGGGGUAGUGGCUUACCAAGGCUUUGACGGGUAGCCGGCCUGAGAGGGUGACCGGCCACAUUGGGACUGAGAUACGGCCCAGACUCCUACGGGAGGCAGCAGUGGGGAAUAUUGCACAAUGGGCGGAAGCCUGAUGCAGCAACGCCGCGUGCGGGAUGACGGCCUUCGGGUUGUAAACCGCUUUCGCCUGUGACGAAGCGUGAGUGACGGUAAUGGGUAAAGAAGCACCGGCUAACUACGUG
rnacentral:rRNA from 1 species